GAUGAACGCUGGCGGCGUGCCUAAUACAUGCAAGUCGAGCGAACGGACGAGAAGCUUGCUUCUCUGAUGUUAGCGGCGGACGGGUGAGUAACACGUGGAUAACCUACCUAUAAGACUGGGAUAACUUCGGGAAACCGUAGCUAAUACCGGAUAAUAUUUUGAACCGCAUGGUUCAAAAGUGAAAGACGGUCUUGCUGUCACUUAUAGAUGGAUCCGCGCUGCAUUAGCUAGUUGGUAAGGUAACGGCUUACCAAGGCAACGAUGCAUAGCCGACCUGAGAGGGUGAUCGGCCACACUGGAACUGAGACGCGGUCCAGACUCCUACGGGAGGCAGCAGUAGGGAAUCUUCCGCAAUGGGCGAAAGCCUGACGGAGCAACGCCGCGUGGGUGAUGAAGGUCUUCGGAUCGUAAAACUCUGUUAUUAGGGAAGAACAUAUGUGUAAGUAACUGUGCACAUCUUGACGGUACCUAAUCAGAAAGCCACGGCUAACUACGUG
rnacentral:rRNA from 1 species